ACAGCCCCUCUCACACACAGCCUGCAGCCGGCUGGCACUUAAAUCAUUUCAGACAGUUUCUUACGUCACGGUUUCCAGCUGUAUGAGUGGGUCCCUAUACACACCGCUGCUCGUCUUUAAGAGACGUCAACAGGUCUGCAAAUUCUCCAGGAAUAUCAACAAAACACAGCUUUUCUUGGCCCACGGCGGGUCCACAAAUUUUCACUGACCACAGCGGGUCCACAAAUCUUCGCUGACCACGGCGGGUCCACAAAUGCAUAGUGAAGCUUAAAACCCUCUUGGAUAGAACAUCAACUCUAAACAAGCACAGUUAUGCAUUGUGUAUAAAAUAAACUCAACCUGUGAAUAAAAUGAAUGUGAUGACAAACAUAUUCAAUGCAAUAUGAACCCUGUAAACAAUAUUACUGAUAAAAUAAUACUGUAGAACAUGUUAUUAAUGCAUUUAUCAUAAGGCAGAUUAUAUGGCAGCAAUAAAAGAAUCUCUAAAUCCCAACAGUGGGCAUACUUGGGGGGAUACUCCCACUGGGUUUAAAUCUGGGACUCUCGGCCAUUUGACCUUAGAACUGAAGAAGCUUCUCGGAUGAGAGGUGAAACGUCUUCAAGCAACUCAAAGAAGUCCAGACGCUUUUCUUUGCAAACUCCUUUGACUACGAUGACCUGGAUGACUGAGAACCUUCACAGACAUUUUGUAAAGGACAUAUUUAGCAGACACAUUUGUGGAUCUCACCAACGUGUUUAUGUCAUUCAACAACAAUUAGCUCUAUGACCUAAAAUAUUAUUUAACAUGUUCUCCAUGAUUCGAAGCAGAUAUAACUAUGAAAGCAAACUCCAGUUGUAAGCUCUGUCCUCUUUCAGACGUCGCAAAUCAAAUGUUUCUGGACUCAGUCUUAAAAAAAGAUCUCUUUAUAUCUUUACAUCAACUUAGGCUGAAGAUGUAACAGAAUUCAUCUUUACAGAGACUUGAAUACCUUUUUACCCAUUGAUAUAUUUUUGAGACGUCCAAAUGGUUCACAGAAAAAAAAGUUGAAUUCGGGUUGUUCUAAAAAAAGCAAAAUUUUGCCAGUGCAAUUUGAUUGAUAUUUUUUUUCUAUUGUGAGAUGGUUGUGAUCAGACAUCCAGUAAAUAGCCACUUUUGCUACACAGAUUCAUCUAACUAAUCAUAUUAGACAGCUUUUUUUGAUUUGCUGUUAGCGCUGCUGCCCCACAGCAGCAUCCCUUAACUUUUCAAACAAACAUGGAUCGCUUUUGAACUUUUAACUUUUGAACUGAAUCUCUUUCAAGCAGAUUGAAGUCUGUCAAGUCAUUUUAGUUUUUAAAAUUUUCCUUUUAUUUGAAUUGCCCUGAAUGCUGUAUUUACUUUUUCUACUAAACAUUCUGUAUUAAUUUCAUCGAUCGUACUUCUAUUUUUUGCUAACUUUUGAAAAUGACUAAAACUGAAGUAUUCUGGUAGUUAAGGGGACAGAUGGUCCUGAUUAACAGUGAAGAUUACACUGCAAUAAACUCAAACACCUGACUUUGUUAAAGCUGCACAACAAAAAUAAAUAUGCUUCAAACAAGCGGCAGAAAACAACAAAUGUUGAUGAAAUAUUUCCUGACGCUGACAUCUAAUUUUCCACCAGCAUACAUGAGCUAAAUACUGAAAGCCCUGAUUCCAAACUUAUCAUUGAUUCACUUCAUGUGUUUAUUUUUAUUUAAAAACUAAAAACAUGAUCAAAUGGAAGUGAAAUAAGAACAUGUGAGGUGAACCGCUCAUGUUUGUUUCGAGAAGAACAAUAAGUUGUUUGUUUCAGCGGUUUCUGAGUCUGUCUCUGUGUGGUUUGUCUUCUCGUACGAGCAGGAUGUCCGAGACUCAGCGCUGAACUGUUCUCAUGCGAUCACUUCAUAAACUUUAAAUUCCUAUAAUACUGUUUAACUUUGAAUUCUUCCAUAUUCUUUGCAUGAAUGGUGCUAUUUGCACCAAAAAUC
ensembl:lncRNA